GGAUGCAAGGGCAGUCUGGGCUGUACCAUCUAUCACCCCAGAGGUCACCAAGGUUGAUUCCACUACUAUGUCUGGCUAGCAGAUGUUGCCUUUCUCCAUUACCAAUUCAUCUUCAUUUCUCUAAAGCUGCCAUUCAGUCAAAGAAGAUGGCCUUCCCCAGUAGAGCUAUUCUUCAGGCAAAGAUACAUGUGUAGCUAGAUAGAACCCCUCUGAUAGAACCUUGAAAAGCAAGUCUUCAAGAUAAAGUCAAAACAAUGUCAAUAAUCAAUAAAAUUAUAUGAAAUU
rnacentral:snRNA from 1 species